UACGUAGGGUGCAAGCGUUAAUCGGAAUUACUGGGCGUAGAGCGUGCGCAGGCGGUUUUGUAAGUCUGACGUGAAAUCCCCGGGCUCAACCUGGGAACUGCAUUUGUGACUGCAUGGCUGGAGUGCGGCAGAGGGGGAUGGAAUUCCGCGUGUAGCAGUGAAAUGCGUAGAUAUGCGGAGGAACACCGAUGGCGAAGGCAAUCCCCUGGGCCUGCACUGACGCUCAUGCACGAAAGCGUGGGGAGCAAACAGG
rnacentral:rRNA from 1 species